CGCGAUUCGCCCUUCGGGGUGCAGCAGGCGCGAAAACUUUACAAUGCGGGAAACCGUGAUAAGGGAACUCCGAGUGCCCGUAAAAUCGGGCUGUCCAUCUGUUUAAAUAACAGGUGAAGAAAGGGCCGGGCAAGACCGGUGCCAGCCGCCGCGGUAAUACCGGCGGCUCGAGUGGUGGCCACUAUUACUGGGCUUAAAGCGUUCGUAGCUGGUCUGUUAAGUCUCUGGGGGAAUCUACUGGCUUAACCAAUAGGCGUUUCAGGGAUACUGGCAGACUAGGGACCGGGAGAGGUGAGGGGUACUCCAGGGGUAGGAGUGAAAUCCUGUAAUCCUUGGGGGACCACCUGUGGCGAAGGCGUCUCACCAGAACGGCUCCGACAGUGAGGGACGAAAGCUGGGGGAGCAAACCGGAUUAGAUACCCGGGUAGUCCCAGCCGUAAACGAUGCGCGUUAGGUGUAUCGGUGACCACGAGUCACCGAGGUGCCGAAGAGAAAUCGUGAAACGUGCCGCCUGGGAAGUACGGUCGCAAGGCUGAAACUUAAAGGAAUUGGCGGGGGAGCAC
rnacentral:rRNA from 1 species